rnacentral:rRNA from 1 species
AUUGAACGCUGGCGGCAGGCCUAACACAUGCAAGUCGAACGAGUGGCGGACGGGUGAGUAGUGUCUGGGAACCUGCCUGAUGGAGGGGGAAAACUAGUGGAAACGGUAGCUAAUACCACAUACCCGCAGAUGUGCACAGAGGGGAUUAGUCAGUUGGUGGGAUAACGCCUCACCAAGGCGACGAUCCCGAGCUGGUCUGAGAGGAUGACCAGCCACCCUGGAACUGAGACACGGUCCAGACUCCUACGGAAGGCAGCAGUGGUGAAUUUUGCACAAUGGGCGAAAGCCUGAUGCAGCCAUGCCGCUUGUAUGAAGAAGGCCUUCGGGUUGUAAAGUACUUUCAGCGGGGAGGCGUUACCCGCAGAAGAAGCACCGGCUAACUCCGUGCCAGCAGCCGCGGUAAUAC